AGUGAACGCUGGCGGUAGGCCUAACACAUGCAAGUCGAACGGCAGCACAGUAAGAGCUUGCUCUUACGGGUGGCGAGUGGCGGACGGGUGAGGAAUACAUCGGAAUCUACUUUUUCGUGGGGGAUAACGUAGGGAAACUUACGCUAAUACCGCAUACGACCUACGGGUGAAAGCAGGGGAUCUUCGGACCUUGCGCGAUUGAAUGAGCCGAUGUCGGAUUAGCUAGUUGGCGGGGUAAAGGCCCACCAAGGCGACGAUCCGUAGCUGGUCUGAGAGGAUGAUCAGCCACACUGGAACUGAGACACGGUCCAGACUCCUGCGGGAGGGAGCAGUGGGGAAUAUUGGACAAUGGGCGCAAGCCUGAUCCAGCCAUACCGCGUGGGUGAAGGAGGCCUUCGGGUUGUAAAGCCCUUUUGUCGGGAAAGAAAAGCAGCAGGUUAAUACCCCGCUGUUCUGACGGUACCCAAAGAAUAAGCACCGGCUAACUUCGUG
rnacentral:rRNA from 1 species